ensembl:lncRNA
UUACUUUUCUAUAUACUGUAGAAAUAAACAGAAAUCUCUGCCAUUUACAUUAAGAAACUAAGAAUGUGCAUUGCUGUUAAUGAUGGAAGGGUUUGUACUUCAAAAAAGCAAUUUAAGGACACAGACCAUAGAGACAGUUAUGAACUCUUCAUUUUUCCUUCCUACUGAUGACAAAAUGCCUGUCUCUCUGAUGUAUGCAUUCAUUGGUAUCAGCAUAAUUGUGAUGUUUGUGUCUCUCCCACUCAACGUGUAUGUUUUGUGGCUGAUUGUAACAGGUGCAAGAAAUGGAAUAGUAUCAGAAUACUUUUCUCUUAACCUCUGUGUGUGUGAGAUCAUCAUUAGCUUAAUUUCGGUGCCUAGCAUUUUAAACGUUAUACUCUAUAGAAAUGGUCAAAAUAGCCCUUUAUAUCAUAUUCUUAUGUUAUUGUCCUCAAUUCAUCUUAUCAGCCGUCCAUUCUUCCAGUGCUUUGUCUGCGUGGAACGAUAUGUGGCAGUGAUCCAUCCCAUCAUCUUCCUAAAAUACAAAUCACUAACAUAUCGCAUUGUUUGGUCAUUUGUUACCUGGAUAAUCGUUUUAGGAUUCAGUGCACUUUGCUUAUAUGUACAAGUCAGAUGCAUAUAUUAUUAUAUUCUACUUCCAGAGUACAUGCUUUUGUGUUCUAUUAAGAUUCUCUGCUCCGUAGCAGUGCUUAAGGCUUUGAAGAAACCUGGACCUGGUGAGAAAUUACGUGUAAAAGAUGCAGAGUCCAACCGCAUGAAAAAGAAGGCUUUUUUGGUGAUUGUGCUUAUUCUGAUUUUCAUGGUUAUUACUUAUUUGCCAAUGAUGAUAUUCAUGUUUCUCAUUGAUUAUCUAUCAGCUAUACAGAUAUGGAAGGGUCUGGCAGUGUUUUACUACUUUACGAUAUUUGCUGGAUUUGUGUAUCCAUUUCUGUAUCUUCACAGGGUUGGAAAACUUUCUUUCAUUCCUGGUUUAUGAUUCUGCUCAAAUUAAAGUGAACACCAUCAGCACUACAAUUUUUUCUUUUCUUCUAAAAUGUUUAGAAGUUUGUAAAAUAUGAAACUAAACUUUUCUUUUUUUUAGAUAAAGCACAAAUGUGUUAAUUCUCACUUCAAAUGAGCUAAAACCUUUCAGUCUUCUGCAUGAUAGUGAUUCUAUAGUAAUAAAUAUUGAUUGUUACAUUUAAAAACAAAAAUAAAAUUAGAGCUGGGCUAUUUUCUUGCUGCUCUUAUGUCUACUUAUAUAUUUAGUGAAAAUAUAUCAGCAGAAGAUUUUUGUUUGUUUGUUUGUUUUUUAAAUUAAGCACUAAGAGUAUACAAUAAUUAAUUGUAAGUCUCUUUUGCAUUCUAUUUCCAUUUUACCUGUGCACUGCAGUUGUGCCAACCUGAAAUGCAAUUAAGCCUUAAGCUGUACUCAGGUCAAGGCUGUAAUCAGAAAAGAGGAGAAGGGCCUCACUCUUGUGAAUAUGUACAUUUCCUAUUAGUUUCACUGUUGGGAAUAAUUCAUUGUCAUUUUCUAAACAAUAUGAGACUUGAAACAGUCAUUUAGGCAAUGUAUGCAUUUUAUAUAUCCUCAUAAACUGUUUAUGUAAAAUUAUAAUGUGGAAGAUUUUUUUUAUGCUUGUAGUGAAACUCUUCAUUGAUGUUAACUUGGUGUAUAUACUGUAUCUCCACACUUUUUAAACAUCUAUUUACAUGCUUAAUAAAUGUUCUCACCUGUAUAAUGCACAUAUAUUUAGUUAAACAAAUUGGUGUUUGAUCUAUUACAACCA